CUAGAAGUUGUUUAUAAGCCUUAAUUCUAUUUCUCAUGUUCCCUUUCCCCCACCUCUGUUGUUUGGGAUUUGUUUCCUACCUCCCUUGUGCCCUGAGCAAUUGAAAUGUUUUAAUUUUUCCUCUUUCUAGAUACAUUUUGCUGUUAAUUGUGAAUUGUUUCUCAGUAAAUUUUGCACAUCUAGGUGGCCUCUUGCACUUGUAGUGGUUUUCCUGCCAUUCAGUCAAAUGAGAAUUCCUUCUCAUUCUCCCCAUAAAUAUUGUGUAAGUUAUUUCUGUGUCCUAGUACAGGGUCAUUUAAGAAAACUGGGGACUGUGCUGGUAGAACUCAGAGGACACCUUCAGACUGCCAAUUUUUCUUCAGUGUUUCAGGGUUUUUCUGCCAUUUCCAGGUGGAAGGUUUCUUGAUCCUGAGGUCACAGCCUGAGCACGUGGAUUUGUAUAAAUUUAUGUCCUGAUGUGGAAGACAAAGACUUUAUGAAGUCUAGAGAUAGACAAAGGAAGGCAGGAGAUUCUUGUAAGAUGACUUGAAGUUGGUUGCAGCAGAUUCAAGUCCAUUAUCAUUUUAACAGUACUUGAAAUACACAACAGUCACCAGUCCAAGGAAGUGACUGUGAGAAAUUUGAUGGUUCUUGUGCAUCAGUGGGACUCCAGGUGAGCCUUGUGUUAAUUUGCCUGCUUGCUUCAUGGACUUCAUAAGAGUAAGAGCAGACUUUGCUUAUUUACUGAGCUAAUUGGUGAGACCCUGUGAGCUGAAGGACAGUGAAUCACAAGGGACCUGGCCUUCCUUUAAGGACAGCCCCAUGGAGCACAAAGCAAUAGUCCUUCCACUUGCUUGGGAAAACGAGUGGAGGUUUAAGGAGAGCAGAAUUGAGGGAACUCAUGACUCAGCCUCAGCACAGCACACUCGUGCAGGAGGAGGAAACAAGGACAGGCUUGCUCAGGGAUAUAAAAAUCCUGCCCGCAUGGGCAGAGAUGGUAUUGAGAAAGCCACUGUUAGUGAUAAGGGCAUCAAAGGCAGCAGGAACUUCCAGCACUGGAUCAGGAGUUGAGGAAAAAGAGAAAUAGGGAAAUAAAGGCUUGCUGCUGUCUGUGACAGGUGAUCCAGGGACAGUGCAUAUGGACAAGGCUGAGGUGCUGGAUCCUUUCUUUGCCCUUCUAGGGUCUUCUAGGCCUUUGUCCCUUUAGACAGGGUUUAAAAAUGGAGAAUAACUCAGUGCUGCAAGAGGAUUGGGUCAGAGGGGUUUUUUUGAUAUGGAGAAAACAUCUUUGCAUUCUGUUUGGUGUAAGGAACACGACUCCUAAAAUAGCAACACUA